rnacentral:lncRNA from 10 species
UAUGUCUUUGUUCAGUUAUUUAUUUAUUAAACAUUUAUGGAGCAUCCAUUCUCUGUCAGUCAUUGUGCCAAGGUGCUGUGCACACAUUUUGUCAGCAUGAAAUGAGAAAUCAGUUUGUUGUAGUCAUCCAGAAAAUGCUUUUCCCUAAAUCUGCAUUUAGUCAGAUUUUAUGUUUUUCUGUAUUUGACAUGUUUUGUUUUCUUCUUUUUAGCAUUUCUGGAAAGGAGUCCAUUAUCGCUGGGCAUUUUUCAUGGCCAGUGGCCCAUGUUUAGAUGACAUUGCAGAACUGGUGGAUGCGGGAAAGAUCCGGCCAGUUAUUGAACAAACCUUUCCUUUUUCUAAAGUUCCAGAAGCCUUCCUGAAGGUGGAAAGAGGACACGCACGAGGAAAGACUGUAAUUAAUGUUGUUUAAAUAAAAAUGCAGUUUAGUGAU